GUGGAUUAGAUACCCGAGUAGUCCACGCCGUAAACGAUGAUUACUGGUUGUGUGCGAUAUACAGUGCGCGACUGAGGGAAACCAUUAAGUAAUCCACCUGGGGAGUACGUUCGCAAGAAUGAAACUCAAAGGAAUUGACGGGGGCCCGCACAAGCGGAGGAACAUGUGGUUUAAUUCGAUGAUACGCGAGGAACCUUACCUGGGCUUAAAUGUAGAGUGCAUGGCUUGGAAACAGGCCUUUCCUUCGGGACUCUUUACAAGGUGCUGCACGGCUGUCGCCAACU
rnacentral:rRNA from 1 species